AAUAGACUCACAGUUCCACAUGGCUGUGGAGGCCUCACAAUCAUGGUGGAAGGGAAGGGAGGAGCAAAGCCAUGACUUACUUGGUGGCAGGCGAGAGAUUGUGUGCAGGAGAACUCUCCUUUAUGAAACCAUCAGAUCUCAUGAGACUUAUUUAAUAUCACAAGAAUAGCAUGGGAAA